rnacentral:rRNA from 1 species
GUUUGCCAGCAGUUCGGCUGGGCACUCUAAAGGGACUGCCGGUGUUAAACCGGAGGAAGGUGGGGAUGACGUCAAGUCCUCAUGGCCUUUAUGACCAGGGCUACACACGUACUACAAUGGCCGAUACAAAGGGCAGCGACACUGCGAGGUGAAGCCAAUCCCGUAAAAAUCGGUCUCAGUCCGGAUUGGAGUCUGCAACUCGACUCCAUGAAGUUGGAGUCGCUAGUAAUCGUGGAUCAGCAUGCCACGGUGAAUACGUUCCCGGGCCUU